UUCCUUUUUCUUGUGCACAGACUUGUCUUCUUCAUUGGCACUUUCUUCUGAACUUAUAUCAAUAACUUCCACCGGCUUUGGUUUUGCAGUGACUUUCUUCUGAGCAGGUUUUGUGGCCACUCUUCUAGCCACUGCAACUCCAUCAAGAACAGGAGGAGCAGGUUUUGCAGGAGCCACAGGUCUUGCAGGAGCCACAGGUCUUGCAGGAGCCACAUUAGCACAAGCCUGUUUCUUCAAUUUCAAAACACAAAUUCCAAUCUCAGAAAAAACAAUCAAUAUCAUCACUAACCUACCAAUGAAACAUCAAUUCAAAUAAAUAAUCAAACAAAGAUGAAUACAAAUAAUAUAAGAGAACCUUGUUGUUUUCAUUAACAGCUGCUGCUUGAGCAUUGGCAAGUAGUUGAGCACAGAAACUCCUAAAAGAAUAAUCAAAAUCAAUAAAAGGGAAUCACAGAGAAAGACAAAGAGAGGGAGAAAGAAAGAAAGAAAGAAAGAGAAAAAAAACCUUGUGAUUGGGCGAUUUGGCUUGACUUCAACUCCUCUUAGAGUGACAACAUUUCCAAUAUCACGUAGUGCUCCACGGUUCCUUCCAUCGCCGCCGGCUACACCGUUCUUCUUCUGAUGCUGUUUUCCUCCCCCCAGGGCAGCAUCACCUAUUACAUUUCAAAAACCAAACAAACCCAUUAAAAAAUGUUAUGUAGAUUUAGAUCAAAUCACUGAAAAAAGGUUAUAUAGAUUUCAAUCCAAAUCAUGUCAAAAAAGGUUAUUGGUUUCGACCCAACAUAGCAUCGGAAAAAUAAAAAGACCCUUUUGGUAGAUUUGGGACGAAACUCAUAAAAAUCGAAACUAAUUUGUGACCAAAACAGAUUUUCAAAAUCCCAGACAAGAUUUUUCAUUUGGGCUUCUUGCAAAAUCUCAGAUUUGCAAGAUUUUUCAUUCAGUUAUAAAUAAAAUACAUGAAAAAUAAACCAACCCAGAUACUAUUGAAUUUGUACCAAAAAUUCCAAUCACUGAACACAAAAAUUGAACCCCAGAAAGAAUCGAUGAAUCAUAUAAAAAAUGAACAACACAAUCGAAAUCAGAUCGACGAUAAUUGAAGAAAACAACCUCUGGGUUGUUGUUGUUGAGGAACAAUGGGUCUUGAAGCCAUUUCGAAAUCACAAUCACACUGUUCUCACCCUCACUCGCUCGCUCUCUCUCUCGGAUUGUAAAAUGAAUAGGAAUGAAAAAUGUGAAUGCGAUGUUACAAUGAAAAAACACUCUCUUAUGAAGCUGAUGGAGGCGACGUUUCUACCCUCAACGGUCAAAUUUUUAACUACUUUUUAACCGUUAGAUUGUUUUUACGUUGAUCCGACGACAGAGCGUGUCUCUCCGACAAAAAUAUAGCCGUUGGCGAUGUUUCGAAAGAAAGGCAAGUUGCAUUCUUCCCACUUUUGGAUAAUUUAUUUUUUAAUAUUGAUAUUUUUGUAAUUAAUUAAUUAUUUAGAUUUAAUUUUAUAUAAACUUUUAGUCAAAAAAAUAUUAUUAUAUACACAGUUAAUGUAAGAAUUUUUUAUAUUAUUAGUUAAUUGUGAUAAUCACAUCAUUAAAAAUCGUUUGAUUAUUAUAAUUAUAAUAAUAAUAAUUACUUUUUAAAGUUAUAUGUAUGAAUAUAAUUGUAAUUUUUCUAAGACGGUAAAUUUAGUUACAUCGUAAUCGUAAGUGUAUGAAAAUUAAUAUUCUUUUUAUCUAUAUCGGUAUAUUAUAUAUCUUUGAAAUUUAAUUUAUAUAUAUCAUUCGCGUAAAAGUUUUUUUAUGUUAUAAUAAAUCAUAACAAUUAAAUAAUUGAAAAAAUUAAACUUUUAUAUAAUUAUUUUUAAAGUCAUAUAUAUAUAUAUAUAUAUAUAUAUAUAUAUAUUUUUAUAAUUAAAUUUUUUUACUCAAACAGCUACCUUGCUUCUAGCUGUGAGAACAGAAGUGAGAGUGCGUGAUUUCUUCUUGGAAUUGACAUCUACUUCCUUUUUCUUGUGCACAGACUUGUCUUCUUCAUUGGCACUUUCUUCUGAACUUAUAUCAAUAACUUCCACCGGCUUUGGUUUUGCAGUGACUUUCUUCUGAGCAGGUUUUGUGGCCACUCUUCUAGCCACUGCAACUCCAUCAAGAACAGGAGGAGCAGGUUUUGCAGGAGCCACAGGUCUUGCAGGAGCCACAUUAGCACAAGCCUGUUUCUUCAAUUUCAAAACACAAAUUCCAAUCUCAGAAAAAACAAUCAAUAUCAUCACUAACCUACCAAUGAAACAUCAAUUCAAAUAAAUAAUCAAACAAAGAUGAAUACAAAUAAUAUAAGAGAACCUUG
rnacentral:lncRNA from 1 species